UACAGAGGGUGCGAGCGUUGUCCGGAAUCACUGGGCGUAAAGGGCGCGUAGGCGGUUUUGUAAGGCGGGGGUGAAAUGCUGCGGCUCAACCGCAGCGCUGCCUUCGAGACUGCAAGACUGGAGCACGGUAGAGGCGGAUGGAAUUCCCGGUGUAGCGGUGGAAUGCGUAGAGAUCGGGAAGAACACCAAUGGCGAAGGCAGUCCGCUGGGCCGUUGCUGACGCUGAGGCGCGACAGCGUGGGGAGCAAACAGG
rnacentral:rRNA from 1 species